CCGAUCAAAGCUUGUCCUUUAAUUCCAAGGAUUUUUGGCAGUAGGUUCCUCAAGGUUGAUAACUCCAUCUUGUUUGAAGAUAGUUUCACCACAAUAGCUUGAUGCAGUCUGUCCUUUAAUUCCAAGGAUUUUUGGCAGUAGGUUCCUCAAGGUUGAUAACUCCAUCUUGUUUGAAGAUAGUUUCACCAUAGUAGUUUGAUGCAGUCCCUCCUCUUUUGCAUAAUCUAGUCGUUCUUCCUUUGUAAAUUGAAUAGUUGGUACUCCAUGUAUAACUUCAACUUGUUUUAUAUUUGUUUGGUUCGAAAAAAAUGAAACGGG
rnacentral:lncRNA from 1 species